CGUUGUGUCAAGUUUUUGAUAAAACUGCGUACGCAAAAAAACUGCGUACGUAAAAUAAUCGUUACAUUCGUAUCGGCGAAACUACGUACAUGGUUAUUAGCUUCGUAUCUAGUUUCUGAAACCGAUUACGUUAAAUAACGCUCAACGCUACCGAAAAUGACGAAGU